GGACCGUAGCUCAGUGGCAAAAAGUCUGCUUGUAUGCAGAAGACUCCAGGUUCAAUCCCUGGCAUCUCCA